AUUGAACGCUGGCGGAACGCUUUACACAUGCAAGUCGAACGGUAACGAGGAGGAAAGCUUGCUUUCCUCUGUCGACGAGUGGCGAACGGGUGAGUAAGACAUCGGAACGUAUCCGCUCGUGGGGGACAACUUCCCGAAAGGGGAGCUAAUACCGCAUGAGAUCCGAGGAUGAAAGAGGGGGACCCGCGAGGGCCUCUCGCGAGCGGAGCGGCCGAUGACUGAUUAGCUAGUUGGUAAGGUAAAGGCUUACCAAGGCGACGAUCAGUAGCUGGUCUGAGAGGACGACCAGCCACAUUGGAACUGAGACACGGUCCAA
rnacentral:rRNA from 1 species